rnacentral:rRNA from 1 species
AUGAACGCUAGCGACAGGCCUAACACAUGCAAGUCGAGGGGCAGCGGGGAGGUAGCAAUACCUUUGCCGGCGACCGGCGCACGGGUGAGUAACACGUAUGCAAUCCACCUGUAACAGGGGGAUAACCCGGAGAAAUCCGGACUAAUACCCCAUAAUAUGGGCUCUCCGCAUGGAGGGUUCAUUAAAGAGAGCAAUUUUGGUUACAGACGAGCAUGCGCUCCAUUAGCCAGUUGGCGGGGUAACGGCCCACCAAAGCGACGAUGGAUAGGGGUUCUGAGAGGAAGGUCCCCCACAUUGGAACUGAGACACGGUCCAAACUCCUACGGGAGGCAGCAGUGAGGAAUAUUGGUCAAUGGUCGGCAGACUGAACCAGCCAAGUCGCGUGAGGGAAGACGGCCCUACGGGUUGUAAACCUCUUUUGUCGGAGAGUAAAGUACGCUACGUGUAGCGUAUUGCAAGUAUCCGAAGAAAAAGCAUCGGCUAACUCCGUGCCAGCAGCCGCGGUAAUACGGAGGAUGCGAGCGUUAUCCGGAUUUAUUGGGUUUAAAGGGUGCGUAGGCGGCACGCCAAGUCAGCGGUGAAAUUUUCGGGCUCAACCCGGACUGUGCCGUUGAAACUGGCGAGCUAGAGUGCACAAGAGGCAGGCGGAAUGCGUGGUGUAGCGGUGAAAUGCAUAGAUAUCACGCAGAACCCCGAUUGCGAAGGCAGCCUGCUAGGGUGCGACAGACGCUGAGGCACGAAAGCGUGGGUAUCGAACAGGAUUAGAUACCCUGGUAGUCCACGCAGUAAACGAUGAAUACUAACUGUUUGCGAUACAAUGUAAGCGGUACAGCGAAAGCGUUAAGUAUUCCACCUGGGGAGUACGCCGGCAACGGUGAAACUCAAAGGAAUUGACGGGGGCCCGCACAAGCGGAGGAACAUGUGGUUUAAUUCGAUGAUACGCGAGGAACCUUACCCGGGCUUGAAAGUUAGCGACGGAUCUGGAAACAGGUCUUCCCUUCGGGGCGCGAAACUAGGUGCUGCAUUGUUGUCGUCAGCUCGUGCCGUGAGGUGUCGGCUUAAGUGCCAUAACGAGCGCAACCCCUAUCGACAGUUACUAACGGGUCAAGCCGAGGACUCUGUCGAGACUGCCGGCGCAAGCCGCGAGGAAGGUGGGGAUGACGUCAAAUCAGCACGGCCCUUACGUCCGGGGCGACACACGUGUUACAAUGGCAGGUACAGAAGGCAGCCAGUCAGCAAUGACGCGCGAAUCCCGAAAACCUGUCUCAGUUCGGAUUGGAGUCUGCAACCCGACUCCAUGAAGCUGGAUUCGCUAGUAAUCGCGCAUCAGCCAUGGCGCGGUGAAUACGUUCCCGGGCCUUGUACACACCGCCCGUCAAGCCAUGGAAGCCGGGAGUACCUGAAGCAUGCAACCGCAAGGAGCGUACGAAGGUAAUACCGGUAACUGGGGCU